UAGCUCAACGGAUAGAGCAUCUGACUACGGAUCAGAAGGUUAGGGGUUCGAAUCCCU
rnacentral:tRNA from 1 species